UGCGCGGUAGUGAAAUCGGGAUCACAGGAGUUUCAUACGCUUCCAUUAUGGGUUCGAGUCCCAUCUGCGCAA
rnacentral:tRNA from 1 species